AGGACACUCUAUACGGAGUUACAAAGGACGACAUUAGACGAAUCAUCUGGAAAGAUGAAUCAAAGAAGGUAAUAAUCCUGUAGUCGAAAAUGUUGUCUCUCUUGAGUGGAUCCUGAGUACGACGGAGCACGUGAAAUUCCGUCGGAAUCUGGGAGGACCAUCUCCUAAGGCUAAAUACUCUCUAGUGACCGAUAGUGAACCAGUACCGUGAGGGAAAGGUGAAAAGCACCCCGGAAGGGGAGUGAAAUAGAACCUGAAACCGUGUGCUUACAAGUAGUCAGAGCCCGUUAAUGGGUGAUGGCGUGCCUUUUGUAGAAUGAACCGGCGAGUUACGAUUUGAUGCAAGGUUAAGCAGUAAAUGUGGAGCCGUAGCGAAAGCGAGUCUGAAUAGGGCGUUUAGUAUUUGGUCGUAGACCCGAAACCAGGUGAUCUACCCUUGGUCAGGUUGAAGUUCAGGUAACACUGAAUGGAGGACCGAACCGACUUACGUUGAAAAGUGAGCGGAUGAACUGAGGGUAGCGGAGAAAUUCCAAUCGAACCUGGAGAUAGCUGGUUCUCUCCGAAAUAGCUUUAGGGCUAGCCUCAAGUGAUGAUUAUUGGAGGUAGAGCACUGUUUGGACGAGGGGCCCCUCUCGGGUUACCGAAUUCAGACAAACUCCGAAUGCCAAUUAAUUUAACUUGGGAGUCAGAACAUGGGUGAUAAGGUCCGUGUUCGAAAGGGAAACAGCCCAGACCACCAGCUAAGGUCCCAAAAUAUAUGUUAAGUGGAAAAGGAUGUGGCGUUGCCCAGACAACUAGGAUGUUGGCUUAGAAGCAGCCAUCAUUUAAAGAGUGCGUAA
rnacentral:rRNA from 1 species